GGGUAUAUAGCUCGGUGGUAGAGCAUGUGCGUAGCAUGCACAAGAUCCUGGGUUCAAUCCCCAGUGUCUCCA
rnacentral:tRNA from 1 species